rnacentral:lncRNA from 1 species
GCUGAUAGAAAUUAAGAAGGACAAUGUGGUUUCCAAAAGAAAGCUUUUUGUUGCUACAGAUGCUUAUAAAUCAGGGACUUCUUCUUCUGGAAUAACAUCUACUACAUUCACGGAAUCAAACAUGGAUACCAUAUCAGCUGCAGCCUGCAGAUGUAAGUUCAUGCCUAAAGAACAUAAAUAUAUAGUUGAUUUUGUAAGUUUUACUUAGAGGUCUGAAAUAUUUAUCCAUUUCUUCAAGCAUGAGACCUAUAACAAUUCUUAACUAUCCCAGGAUUCUAGCUUUCAGUUGGGUGAUUCUUCACACUCCAGGUUCUGCAAAGUCAGCUAGCAAGAAAAAAAAAAGGGUCAGUAUUUCUCCUAUUAAAUAUUUUUUUGUUUACGUUUUGAUAUAUCCUUUUCAUAUUUUUAACGAUAAACUUCUUCGAGAAUACAUUUUAAGGAGGUUUCUUUGUUUGAAACAGGAGAAAUGGAUGCUGCUAUUACCGGAAGAACAACACUGGAGACAUAGAGUUUCAAGAUUGGAAAUUACCUGUGGUUAAUAACAGCCGGUUUACGAAAAUUUGCCUAUGAAUUACUUAGUUUUGGAUAUUCAUUUUCUAUUUAAUUUGAGUACUCAAAGACUUCAUGCAUUUCAUUCUCAUUUAACUUUUUACAUAAUUGUUGGUUUUUGAUCGUAUUUUCAUCUUUAUUAGAAAUAUUUGGAAGAUCUAUGCUACAAUGUUUCAAUACAUACAUAAUUAUAAUAAUUUAUCGGAUUUUCUAGUGUGUGCGCAUAACAACCACUUUUUGUUGAGGUGCAGGGUUUUUAUUGGCCAAAACCUCAUUAAUAAUCAUGGCCCCUACAUAUGCACAAAAAUGACCUGUAAAAGCCCUCCACCUCAACAAAAAGUAAUUGUUAGUGUGUGUUCAUGGGCACACACUAGAAAAACCCAUAAUUUAUAUCAGACAAAAAUAAGUUACAAAAUUCAAAAAUAAAAUACAAACACAGAUAAUAAAAAUUUAUAAUAAUUCAACGAAUAAAUGAAAUAUAUAACUAAAUAUAACAACAUUACCGUGUGCGAAGCAGGAGCAAUAUUACUAGUAAAACCAAAAAUGAAAAUAUAUUGACGCAUGCUGGUGCCCAGAUUGCAGCUUCUGAGGGUGUUAGCUAAGUCACAGGUUUUCAAUGUGGAACAGAUAUAUUCUCUUUUGUGUGAUUCACCUGUCAACAAAUAACAUAUAUAUCAUGACCUUUUCUGAGUGCGGCUUUUUGAGGGUGUUAGAUAGGUCAAUGUCUAACAGAUUUAUUCAAUUUCGUGAGAUUCACCUAUCAACAAAUAACACAUAUAUAUUUCAUGAUCUUUUUGGUACAAUAUUAGAUUAGAAAGUAAAUUAUGUUUGAAAAGAGACUGAAAAUAUAAAUGUCUCCGAAUUAUUGUCGUCUUUGCUAGUUUUUAUCAUUGUUAUGCAUAUUUGUCCGUUAACUUUAACAGGAAAGGUUGGAUUCUUGCUGUUGCAUGGAUUUCAUUCUUUUGCGAGAGGGUACCGUGCAUUCCCAAUCUCAUUCUCAAUAAAUUUACAACAUAUAGUCUGAGGAGGUCGCACGAGAUUGCAUCUAAGUGAUGACGAUAUGCAAAAAGCGGUAUGUGUUUCACCAUACAUUUAUAUAAGGUUAAUGAUCAAGUAGUUCACUUACUUGAUAAUUAUUAUUAAGUAGGUGACAUGAUAAUUAACCCUAUAUAAAUGUAUGGUGAAACACAUACCGCUUUUUGCACAUCGUCAUCACUUGAUGCAAUCUCGUGCGACCUCCUAAGACUACGUGUUGUAAAUUUAUUGAGAAUGAGAUUCGGAAUGCAGGGUACCCUCCCGCAAAAGAAUGGAAUCCAUGCAACAGCUAACAAGAAUCCAACAUUUUCCGUUGAAGUUAACGGACAAAUAUGCAUAACAAUGAUAAAAACCAGCAAAGACGACAAUAAUUCGAAAACAUUUAUAUUUUCAGUAUCUUUUCAAAUAUAAUUACUUUUGUUUUAAUCUAAUAUUGUAUCAAAAAGUUUAUGAAAUAUAUAUAUGUUAUUUGUUGAUAGGUGAAUCUCACAAAAUAGAAUAAAUCUGUUAGACAUUGAAAAUAUGUGACCUAGCUAACACCCUCAGAAGUUGCACAGAAAAAAAGUCAUGAUAUAUAUAUAUAUAGAGUGUUACUCUAGUGAGAACCCUUAAAAUGAGAACUAAAUGAGAACCAUGUCGAAACAUAGCAAAUAUGGUAUGGAAAUUGAUCGUUCAGAGAUGAAUAAAAAUUCAAUGAAGUCGGAUUUUGAAAAAAGUUUACCAAUUGACGGGAAAAAUCAAAUUAAAAACGGAGGGGAAUCUGUGGAUCAUGUGUGGGAGGGUACAGGUUCAUUGUGUGUGGUGAAUUCUAGGGGGGCCAUCCAUUAAGGUCUCCACCUAGCUAGCCGAAAAAAAAAAUAUAAAAAAAUCACUGAUGACGUGGCAGUGGACCUUUUUUUUUGAAUUUUUUUUUUGACUAGCUAGGAAGAGACUAGUUUUAUAUACAUUUUUUAUAUUGCGCACCCACUAGUUUGAUGUUUAGAUUAGCCAAAAUAUGAUAAAUUAAGGAAAUUCUCACGGUUCUCAUUUUAAGAAGUUCUCAUUAGAGUAACCCUCUAUAUAUAUAUAUGUGUGUGUAUAUAUAUAUAUAUAUAUAAAUUAUCAGUGGCGGAACCAAGAAUAAAAUUUAGGGGCUCAGAUAUUUAGUUAUAAAAUAUCCAUAAUAUGAAAAAACAUACAAUAUUAAAAGAAAAUGCAACUAAUCUUUAGUUUCCAGAGCUAACUCAAAAGGAUAAGCAGUGUGUACGGGUGUCUCCGAAUUAUAAUGACAUCAAUAAUUUAGCGGGUGCUAAAAAAAAAUUCUGCUAUUCUUUCAAGGUCGGGGGCUCUAGCAUCCCCUACCCCUCUUGGUUCCGCCACUAUACAUUAUCUGUUUCUUUGUGAAUCACACAAAAGAGAAUAUAUUUAUUACUAGUAUUUUUGCAUGCUACGCUUGGUAAUUUUUAUUUUUAUAUACAUAGAAAAUCUGUGACCUAACCAACACCUUCAAGUAGAGGUGGCCAAAUGAGCGGGUUCGAACUGCUCGUUCGGAACCGGACCGGAUAAAAAUCGUUAAAAUUCGACUCGUGACGGGUUUGAUUCGGCCCGGCCCGACUCGUUAAAUUUUACGAAUCGAAUACGAAUCAUUAGGUAGGAAUUCGGAACCGGACCGCGAAUCAUACGAAUCUGACCCAAACGAAUCAUCGAACGAACGAGCUGAACGAAUCAUCCAACGAGCCGGUCAACGAAUCAGUCAAACGUUAAAUUUUUUAAUAUUUUCUUUAACUUUUUAUCUUCCUACUUUUAUUUAAUAUUAAAUAAAUAUUUUAACAUCUACAAAGUCAUUAGAGUUAUAAAAUUAGAGUACCGUAAUAUUUGGAAUAUAUAUAGGCCAACAUUCCAGAGAGGGACUCCUUAUAUGGAGUUACAUAGUGCGCCACUAUAAAUCAUCAAUUUUAUUAUAAAUUCUAUUAUAGAAUACAUAUAAAACGUGAUUCUAAUAUAGAAUACUAUAAAAUAAAUCUAUUUUAAGUAAUUUAACACUUAAAAUUUGAUUAAAAAAAAUAUAUUUUCGAAACUGAUUCUACAACAGAAUAAUUCUGGAUGAUUAUUAUUCUGUUAUAGAAUCAUGUUGAGAUAUUGCAUAAUUUUAGAUGAUCUUUGGAAUAAAAAAAUUGUAUAACUUCGUUUUCGGUUUAAUAAUCAAAAUUUGCAAUUAUAUUUCAUAAAAAAUAUAAUAGAAUAUAUAUUAUGUAUAUAUUUAUAAUGGUGUGCUACGUAACUCCAUAUAAGAGGGUAUGCUAUGGAGUGCUACCCUAUAUAUCAUAUCAUAAUUGUAAAAAUUUAAAAUUUUAAUAAUAUAAUAUUUAUUACUUUAUAUUAAAAUAACAAUUUAAUAAUAAUUCUAAAAAUUAAUUCAUACAUCAAAACAAUUUAAAAAGUCUAAAGACCUAUUUUAUAAUAUUAAAUAAUAUUCUAUAAUUUAAUGUACAUGUAAAUAUGAAUCGAGGAGGAAGGUAAAUAUCGAGUUUUAUAUAUUCAAAUGCCCAGCGUUAGUUUGAAUAAUUAUUUAAUAAAAAACACUUUCAAAGUUUGUAAAUGGUAAGAAACUUGUGCAAUUUGAAUCAGACGAAUUAUUACACGAAUCGAACGAAUCAUGCGAAUCUAACGAAUCAUUCGGUCCACCCGCCCGCGAGUUCCAGGUUCCUUUGUUUCAUGCUUUAUUUUAUUUUUUCCUGACUUCUUUUCUCUUGACUUCUUUUAUUUAUAAAAUAAAAUGAUUAUUUAAAACAAAUAUUUGAUUAAAAAACAUAAAAAAUAAAUUAAAAAAUAAAAUAAAAAUGAACCGUUUCAACUCGUGAACCCGCGAAUCGGUUCACGAGUUGAUUCGUUACGAAUCGGCCCGGAACCGGACCGGCCCGCGUAAUCAGACGGGCCGGUUACGAAUCAUAUAUCUGUAGCCCGGCCCGAUGAAAAUUCGGCCCGGCCCGCCCGUUUGGCCAGCACUACCUUCAAGCAAGCUUCAUUUUGUGCACCAAGCAUGCGUCAAUAUAUUUUUAUUUUUGGUCUUAUUAGUAAUAUUGCUCUGCUUCAGGUCAUGUUGUUUUCUUUUAUUUUUGCUAAAUCAAUUUAUGUGCUUUUACUUAUUUUAUAGUAAAGCAUCAUGUAUAAAUUUCUUUUAUUUUUGUUAAAUCAAUUUCUGUGCUUUUACUUGUUUUAGAGUAAGUAAAGCAAUGUAUAAUAUUAUCAUGUAUAAAAUUAUUAAUAUAAUUCUAAAAUAUUCUAUAAUUAUCUUUUGAAAUGAUCCUCUAUAUAUUUGUAAUAUCAAAUAUCAAUAAUAAAAAUAAAUUAAAACUAGCAUUUUCAAAUUCUGUUGCGCAAACAUCAAGAACAACCUGUUAAGCUUUGCCAAACAAUAACAUAAUGUAAAAACAAUGAGAAAAUGAGAUGCAAAUUACCAGAGUACUCCCAUCAAAGAUGACAUGAUUAUCAAUGAGGAAGAGAAACACAUCUUUCUUGUAGCAUUCCUCAGGUAGCUUUCCGAAUAAAUCAGCGUCUUCAAUCUCUUCUCCGGCCAUCGGUGUUUAUACUCUCACGCCUUUGUUAUGAAGGCUUGGUUCAUAUCCGCUCAUCUAAAUUAGACGAGUGAGAGCUUUUUUAAAGAGUUAAAUGCAUUAUGUAUGCUUCAACUAUACAGUUUGUGCAUUUUGUGCAGCUCUUGUAUCAAUUGAGCUGUGUACCUAAUUUUCACAAAAAUGGUGCGAUGUGUAGACAUAUGUACUAGACAUAUGAAGACAUAUGUAUA